rnacentral:rRNA from 1 species
UACGAAGGGAGCAAGCGUUAUUCGGAAUCACUGGGCGUAAAGAGCGUGUAGGCGGUUGAUUAAGUCAGUUGUUAAAUUUCCCAGCCCAACUGGGACUCAGCAAUUGAAACUGAUCGGCUAGAGUACAGAAGAGAGAAGUGGAAUUAUCGGAGUAGCGGUAAAAUGCGUAGAUCUCGAUAGGAACACCGAUGGCGAAGGCAGCUUCUUGGUCUGUUACUGACGCUAAAAUGCGAAAGCGUGGGGAGCAAACAGG